CAUUACCAUGACAAACGAGUUUGCGUUCGCCCUCGGGCGUUCGUCCUCUCAAACCCUUUGUGAACCAAAAAAACAUCAGCUUCGGUAGCAGGCCGGUCUCGGGUGAAACCGGUCCGCGUCGUCAGCCUACCGGUAGCAAACCAAACCAAACCUGUUUGUAAUAAUUCAGUCUGAAAUCAAAUUUUCGAAUGAAAAUUAAAACUUUCAACAACGGAUCUCUUGGUUCUCGCAUCGAUGAAGAACGCAGCGAAACGCGAUAGUUAAUGUGAAUUGCAGAAUUCAGUGAAUCAUCGAGUCUUUGAACGCACAUUGCGCCCUUUGGUAUUCCGAAGGGCACGUCUGUUUGAGCGUCAUUUCAACCCCUCGCCUCUCAGGUUUUGCCCUGACCGGACGGUCUUGAGCUCGGCUCGCUCCCUUAACCGGGAACGGGUUGGCUUUAAAGUUGAACGCUCUGCGGGUGUCUCGACCAAACCUAACAUAGUAAAAUCUUUUGCCUGUUUGGUGACGUCUUGCGCACUCCGCCUGAACAACAAACCAAUUUUCUCAGGUUUGACCUCAGAUCAGACGAGGAUACCCGCUGAACUUAAGCAUAUCAAUAAGCGGAGGAAAAGAAACCAACAGGGAUUGCCUCAGUAACGGCGAGUGAAGCGGCAACAGCUCAAAUUUGAAAUCUGGAGUCUUUGACUUUCGAGUUGUAAUUUGAAGAGGAUGCUUCGGUUGUGGCCUGGGCCUAAGUUCCUUGGAACAGGACGUCGUAGAGGGUGAGAAUCCCGUACACGGCUGCAGGCUUACUUCCAUGUGUAGCUCCUUCGAAGAGUCGAGUUGUUUGGGAAUGCAGCUCAAAAUGGGUGGUAAAUUUCAUCUAAAGCUAAAUAUUGGCGAGAGACCGAUAGCGCACAAGUAGAGUGAUCGAAAGAUGAAAAGCACUUUGAAAAGAGAGUUAAACAGUACGUGAAAUUGUUGAAAGGGAAGCGCUUGCAAUCAGACUUGCUUUCAGUUGAUCAACGUUCCUUUUGGUUCGUGCACUCUGCUGUCUGCAGGCCAGCAUCAGUUGGAGCGGUGGGACAAAGACUCUGGGAAUGUGGCUUCCUUCGGGAAGUGUUAUAGCCCAGUGUGUAAUGCCACCUGCACCGAUUGAGGUCCGCGCUUUUGCUAGGAUGCUGGCUUAAUGGUUGUAAGCGACCCGUCUUGAAACACGGACCAAGGAGUCUAACAUCUAUGCGAGUGUUUGGGUGUCAAACCCAUACGCGAAAUGAAAGUGAACGGAGGUGGGAGUCUUCGGAUGCACCAUCGACCGAUCCUGAUGUUCUCGGAUGGAUUUGAGUAGGAGCAUAGCUGUUGGGACCCGAAAGAUGGUGAACUAUGCCUGAAUAGGGUGAAGCCAGAGGAAACUCUGGUGGAGGCUCGCAGCGGUUCUGACGUGCAAAUCGAUCGUCAAAUUUGGGUAUAGGGGCGAAAGACUAAUCGAACCAUCUAGUAGCUGGUUCCUGCCGA
rnacentral:rRNA from 1 species